GGCGAGGGUUGGCCACCUCAAACUAUCUUAUCUGCCGUAGUAAACUUAUAAAGCCCACGUGAGACGAGCGGUGUAGUGUUACAACCAGUGGGGCUGUGAGAGACCGCUGUUCUCUGCCAUGUGUUCUGUUAUUAGAAAAGAAUUUCGUGUACGCAACGCCUGGCUCAAUUUCGAGCGCCCGGAUUACUUCGGACGUUCUCAGUUAGCAUGCAGUACGAACCUGGGAUGGACUCGCCCGGCGUACGUCAUCUACCGCUUGCUGAUAGCAGCCUAUGCCUGCUUUGCCCUUGUUCACAUCUUCAUCAAAUCCGAGGAUAACUUCAACGACGAUGUCAACUCGACGUCACACAACGUGACGCAGCCGCGACAGUACCACGCCAUUGUGUUUCUGACUGUUUGGACCUACACACUUCUCACCUGUCAUUUGGUACUGGCGUUCAUCAUAUCCCUGGUCUAUUUCAAACACGCAAAGACGUCAUCGACGGAAUGUCAACUGAAGAGCGUCACCACUUCCGGGUUUUACGACAACGCAACUUUCACCUCUGAUGCCGUCAAUGGUUUGGUGAGAGAAAACAACAAAAGCGUCGUCUUCGACAACGAAAAUAACGUCAAAAUUGUCGACGGUUCCACAACAAAUUCGGACUCUUCACAAACACAUGUCGAUAUUGACACAAUUAUUCUUCCUUGGUAUUCCAAAAUAUCCUGGCUCCUUUCAAACAUAGUGUCGACGUUCGCCAUCAUUGUGACUGCAAUAUUUUUCGGGGUGUUAUACACAUCGACGGCCGCCAUCUCCCUUGAAGACAUGAACGUCCACGCCCUUAACACCGUUUUCAUUGUAGUCGACAACGUUGUUAGCGCUCGCCCGAUGCGUCUUCUUCACGUCAUAUACCCCGUUGUGUACGGUCUCUGCUACGUCGUCUUCAGCGCCAUCUACUGGGCAUAUGACCAUCGCAACGUCAUCUAUCCAAUCGUUUUAGACUGGAACAACGUUGGACUGACUCUAGGAGUUACUAGUGGUAUAACUGUGUUAACCUGUGUACUUCAUGUUGUUCAGUUUGCUUUAUACCGUUUGAGACUUUUUGUUUAUGAAAAAUGUUGUUCAAACUAGCGUUGCCAAAUGUAUUAUGUUAUCGAAAAUGAUUCAACCCUGCACCGUGAAUCAAAACGAAAAUGUGCUUUCCCGUGUCAACCUUAUAAUGGUAAUAUUUAUUUUGUUAAAUACAUGUACAGAUACAGAGCAUUGAUUUGACAGAUAUGAAAAUUAUGUUUAACUUUUAUGCAUUUCAUAUUCAUGACAAUGUCAAUUUCGUGAGUAUACUUACUGAAAAAAAUAGUAACUUUGAUAAACACCUUUAUGGUUUUGCAGACUAAUCAAUCUCUAACUGUGCACACAAUAAACCAGUUGUACUUAUAGAUCAGGGUAGUGGUAGCCUUGAAGUGUACUGUAAAUAUUUAACAAGAAAUGAAAAAAAGACGGAUAUUUCACCAUGACUCCAUGGAAAUCAAAUUCUCUAGAAAAAUUCCAUAAUGCAUAUUCAAAAUAUCCUCAAGUCCCGUGCCUAAAAAACACAAUAUGACAGACGAUGACAUGAUUGUAGUUACUUUCACCUUUGAAUAUAUGUGGUGAAAACUGAAUCUCGUGUUCUCUCAUUCAGGCGUCCUUCAUUGUUGCUGGCAACCUGGGCGUGUGUUCAUGGUCUUUAAAUGUCUGUAAUAAUUACAUCCAUCGAUUUUCCGUUCCAGAUCAGGUUGUGUGUGUGUGUAUCCUGUCUCCAUGAUAUUUGUUAAAGUGUAAAGUGGUAAAUUGUUCUCCAAGGUUGUGGCUGUCCCGGUGAUUAAUGGCUUGGAAGUGUGUCAUGUCUUCACUCCAGGUCACGCAGAUAAGCCUUCUUCAAUGUUUGGAGUAGAAAUAGCUCGAUACCAUAUUUCUUUUUCAGCUGUUCGAUAAGCUCACUGUCCUACUUUUCGAAUUACAGUUUUAACAUGUACGAAUAACACCGCACAGAGUUGCGUCUGUUGGGCACGCCAGAAACCUAUGAUCGUUGGUUCGAAUACCGGUUCGGCCAGAUUAUGUUUUUAAGUUUGUCAGCACCAUACCCGUGCUCAUAGGUUUCAUAAAAGCAGUAAAGGUCUUAGACCUACAUCACUUUUGGCUUUCCUUCCACAUCAAGCUGACGUACUGCUAUAUAACUGGAAUACUGUUCAAAGCGGCGCUAAACCCAACUCACUCACUCGCCAGAAAGCUCGAUACAAUUUAUUCACUCGUGGACAUAUAAUCCGUAAUUGUUGAUAGCUCGGUUGUUAUGUUCUAAAUAGAUCCGGGUUUUACCAUGUGGGUAUUUCAGUGUUCUAGGAAGUCACAUUAGUUCGUUGUAUAGAGUUGCGUCACUCAGCCUUGCAAGGAUACGCUGACAAUCAGUUCCAGCAAUCGAUGACUGUGAUGGUCUGUCAUCACUAUACCCGUGCUCGUGGGCUUAAUCUAGAUGGUGUAUGUUUAGGACAUGUGACGCCAUUGCCUUUGCCGAACAUUAAGUUGACACGCGGUGAUGUAACUUUUAUAUACUGUUCAAAACGGUGUUAAACUAAACUCACUCACUCACUUUGAUGGAGUGAGUAAGUAAGUUUGGUUUAACGCCGCUCUUGGUUUAACGUGGAGUGUCAGGGAUACCUUAAAGGAUGCAAGUCUUACCAUUUUUGUGAAACGCACGAGCACGGGUAUGGUGAUGAUAAACCUGGACACAUAAUACAGGGAACAUCUGGAAUUGGCACAUAGGGUGAUGGGUUCUGGUACGCCUAAGGGACGCAACUCUGCAAAGCGUUUGGAGUCAGCUUAAACGAAUGGGGCACCCGUCUAACCACUAUGGUGGAUGCUUCCUGGCCGUGUAAAACAUUUGCUACAUCUUAGUUAGUUAUGUGUGUGUGUGUGUGUGUGUGUGUGUGUGUGUGUGUGUGUGUGUGUGUGUGUGUGUGUGUGUGUGUGUGUGUGUGUUUUGAUACGUGUGUAUUCCAGUAAAGUAGGACACAGCGGCCGUCACUGUAUUAGAGUAGGUUUAUAUUUAUAUGAUGGUUGUAUAUUAUAUGUAUAUACACGUUUGAUAAGAUGGUUGCACUUACGUUAUAUCAUGUUUUUUAUCAUUUCUAUCAUAUCUUAAGAAAAGUAUUCUAUUGAUCACCUUUUUAAGAUCUCGGGGGCAAAUAGUUCUCAAAUUUAUAUUUUAUUCACAAAUGAAGUCAUAGAAAGUAUUUGUUUGUGUAAGUGCGGAACGUGAAUAAGAGUUCCAGGGCCCCGUUCCACAAAGUCAUCUUAGCGCUCAGGUGAUCGUAACUCCCAUACUCUAACACUGGCUUACGAUAGUCGUAGUGCUUAGAUCACUUUGUCGAACGAUGCCCUGCCCAUAUAAGUAUUAGAUUCGUAUGUACCUUCUUUGUGUUACUGGGAGCACGGGUGGCCCAGUCGUCUAAGACGCCGCGAUUCGCUGUGUAGAGUUGCGUCCCUUGGGCACGCCAGAAACCUAUGAUUGUGGGUUCGAAUCACGGUUCGCCCUGAUUAUGUUUCUAGGUU
rnacentral:misc_RNA from 1 species